rnacentral:rRNA from 1 species
ACUCAAAGGAAUAGACGGGGGUCCGCACAAGCGGUGGAACAUGUGGUUUAAUUCGACACUACGCGAGGAACCUUACCUGGGCUUGACAUGUUUUUGACAGUCGUAGAAAUACGAUCUUCCGAGUUUACUCGGACAAAUUCACAGGUGUUGCAUGGCUGUCGUCAGCUCGUGUCGUGAGACGUUAGGUUAAGUCCUCUAACGAGCGCAACCCUUGCUAUCAGUUGCUACUAUUUUAUAGGCACUCUGAUGGGACUGCCUGGGAAACCAGGAGGAAGGUGGGGACGACGUCAAGUCAUCAUGGCCCUUAUGUCCAGGGCUACACACGUGUUACAAUGGCCGGUACAAAGGGUUGCAAUGCCGUAAGGCGGAGCUAAUCCCAUAAAGCCGGUCUAAGUUCGGAUUGAGGUCUGCAACUCGACCUCAUGAAGUUGAAAUCGCUAGUAAUCGCGUAUCAGCAACGACGCGGUGAAUACGUUCUCGGACCUUGUACACACCGCCCGU